rnacentral:rRNA from 1 species
CCUGGUUGAUCCUGCCAGUAGUAUAUGCUUGUCUCAAAGAUUAAGCCAUGAAUGUCUCAGUGCAAGCCACAUUAAGUGAAACCGCGAAUGGCUCAUUACAUCAGUUAUGGUUCCUUAGAUCGUACCCACAUUACUUGGAUAACUGUGGUAUUCUAGAGCUAAUACAUGCAAAUUAGAGUUCCACAACCAGAGAUGGAAGGAAUGUUUUUAUUAGAUCAAAACCAAUCGGUGGCGGGCUUGCCUUGCUCACCGUUUGACUUGGUGACUCUGAAUAACUUUGUGCUGAUCGCACGGUCUAGUACCGGCGACGCAUCUUUCAAAUGUCUGCCUUAUCAACUGUCGAUGGUAGUUUCUGCGACUACCAUGGUUGUUACGGGUAACGGGGAAUCAGGGUUCGAUUCCGGAGAGGGAGCCUGAGAACGGCUACCACAUCCAAGGAAGGCAGCAGGCGCGCAAAUUACCCACUCCCGGCACGGGGAGGUAGUGACGAAAAAUAACGAUACGUGGACUCAUCCGAGGCCCGUAAUCGGAAUGAGUACACUUUAAAUCCUUUAACGAGGAUCUAUUAGAGGGCCAGUCUGGUGCCAGCAGCCGCGGUAAUUCCAGCUCUAAUAGCGUAUAUUAAAGUUGUUGCGUUAAAAGCUCGUAGUUAAUCUGUGUCCCACCUGUCGGUCACCGCUCGCGGUGUUUAACAGGCAUGUCUGUGGGACGUCACCGGUGGGCUUAGCCCGUAAAAGGCGGCCCAACUCAAAAUCUUACCAAGGUGCUCUUCACCGAGUGUCGAGGUGGGCCGGUACGUUUACUUUGAACAAAUUAGAGUGCUUAAAGCAGGCUCAUUCGCCUGAAUAUUGUGUGCAUGGAAUAAUGGAAUAGGACCACUCGGUCUAUUUUGUUGGUUUUCGGAAUUCCGAGGUAAUGAUUAAUAGGGACAACUGGGGCAUUCGUAUUGCGACGUUAGAGGUGAAAUUCUUGGAUCGUCGCAAGACGGACAGAAGCGAAAGCAUUUGCCAAAUGUGUUUUCAUCAAUCAAGAACGAAAGUUAGAGGUUCGAAGGCGAUCAGAUACCGCCCUAGUUCUAACCAUAAAACGAUGCCAGCUAGCGAUCCGCCGAAGUUCCUCCGAUGACUCGGCGGGCAGCUUCCGGGAAACCAAAGCUUUUGGGUUCCGGGGGAGUAUGGUUGCAAAGCUGA